rnacentral:rRNA from 1 species
CCUACGGGGCGCUGCAGUGGGGAAUAUUGGACAAUGGGGGCAACCCUGAUCCAGCCAUGCCGCGUGUGUGAAGAAGGCCCUCGGGUUGUAAAGCACUUUCAGUGAGGAAGAACGCCUGGUGGUUAAUACCCAUCAGGAAAGACAUCACUCACAGAAGAAGCACCGGCUAACUCCGUGCCAGCAGCCGCGGUAAUACGGAGGGUGCGAGCGUUAAUCGGAAUUACUGGGCGUAAAGCGCGCGUAGGUGGCUUGAUAAGCCGGUUGUGAAAGCCCCGGGCUCAACCUGGGAACGGCAUCCGGAACUGUCAAGCUAGAGUGCAGGAGAGGAAGGUAGAAUUCCCGGUGUAGCGGUGAAAUGCGUAGAGAUCGGGAGGAAUACCAGUGGCGAAGGCGGCCUUCUGGACUGACACUGACACUGAGGUGCGAAAGCGUGGGUAGCAAACAGGAUUAGAUACCCUUGUAGUC